ensembl:rRNA 5S_rRNA 5S ribosomal RNA
GCUUACGGCCAUACCACCCUGAGAACGCCCGAUCUCGUCUGAUCUCGGAAGCUAAGCAGGGUCGGGCCUGGUUAGUACGUGGAUGGGAGACCGCCUGGGAAUACCAGGUGCUGUAAGCU